UACGGAAUGUGCAAACGUUAUUCGGAAUCACUGGGCUUAAAGAGUCCGUAGGCGGCUUGUUGGGUGAGGUGUGAAAUCCCCCGGCUCAACCGAGGAAUUGCGCUUCAAACCGGCAAGCUCGAGGAGGAUAGAGGUGGGCGGAACUGAUGGUGGAGCGGUGAAAUGCGUUGAUAUCAUCAGGAACACCGGAGGCGAAAGCGGGCUACUGGGCCGAUACUGACGCUGAGGCGCGAAAGCCAGGGGAGCAAACGGG
rnacentral:rRNA from 1 species